rnacentral:rRNA from 1 species
AUACGGAGGGUGCAAGCGUCGUUCGGAAUCACUGGGCGUAAAGGACGCGUAGGCGGGUUAUUAAGUCGGGUGUGAAAUCCAAUGGCUCAACCAUUGAACUGCAUUCGAAACUGAUAACCUAGAGUAUGGAAGGGGCAGGUGGUAUUAGUGGUGUAGGGGUAAAAUCCGUAGAUAUCACUAGGAAUACCGAAAGCGAAGGCGACCUGCUGGGACAUUACUGACGCUGAGGCGUGAAAGCGUGGGGAGCAAACAGGAUUAGAAACCCCAGUAGUCC